ensembl:snoRNA
GGCAAUGGGUAAAGAGACACCUUGUGGGUGGUGGUGUUCUUGUAUCAGUCAAGCAGAACAGACAACAGUCCUCUGUUCCUCUUAGCCUGAUGCCUGGGUUGGUGGCUAGAGCUGUUUCAUAUCUAGAGCACAUAA